CAGACAAAGAAGUCGUCUUUGUGAGUUUCUACAAUGGCGGGCCGGUAUCGCCAGUCCGACUCACCGCAAACUCCUCGCAUAGAACAGCCUGGACAUGACCGACUGGUUUCAGUCAGACCCGCGACAGAGACUGAGAAGAAACUGUUGAGCGUUAUCAGCCGGCUGUCUGGUCAGAGAGGACCGCUGGAGGAGAAGCUGGAGCAGAAGCUGGAGGAGAGGAUAGCUGCCAUGGAAGCCAAAUUAAACACUUUCUCCAGCGGCGAGGAAAUUCAGCGGAAAAGAGGAGAGCACAGUCCUAAAAUUGCGACUGGGCUCACCUCACAAUGAGACAGUCAGGACAUAUUUAGUUAAAACUUCGGCUGAAGUCCAGAUGUGGAGGAUGUGGAGACAGACGUCCUUCUAUCUGAUUGUAAAAAGCAUUUUGAAACUCUACGGAGGAACUACCGCUACAGUCAACCCAACAUGGCGGAUCAGUCUUCUGCCCGGAGUCACCAGAGAAGAAAGAGGGAAAGAGAUAUUAGUUUGAUUCAUUACAUUGUGUGUUUUAUACAAAAUGUGGUUAGAAUAGUAUUGCUGGUCACUAUGACAUUAUUUUUCUGUUAAAUUAUUAAAUGUAUUGAUUUCCUGUACUGAUUGUGUUCACAGCUGCUGGAUGCCAGGAAGACAGUCCUUGCUCCAGAUGAAGAGGACUUCUGGAAGGGCAUCACAGCUGACAUGAUGUCAGAUGAGGAGGACUUCUGGAAGGGCAUCACAACUGACAUGAUGUCAGAUGAGGAGGACUUCUGGAAGGGCAUCACAACUGACAUGAUGUCAGAUGAAGAGGACGGCAGCAUUGACGGGGUGCGUGGAUGGAUAGUACGGCCUCCAUCCUUCCACAGCCAGGAGCUUGCCAACCUGUGUGCAGCCCUACAGGCUGAUGUAAAGUACACAGCUCUACAUCACAGGCGUUUUCACAAUGGACAGCCGUCUGAUAGACUGAAGCCACUGAAGUACAACACGGCAGCAGCCAGAAAAACAUUUUAAGCCAGAGCUGAUGCUUGAGACCAGCCUGGAGUGAGAGAUGAACUUGGUCAAAAUUUUUUGUAAUUUUUUUGUUUUUAAAGACAGUUUAUUUUAAUUUUGAUUUCGGAUUUCUGGAACUCUGGACUGUUCAAUAAAGUUCUUUUUUUUCAA